rnacentral:pre_miRNA from 1 species
UUUUUAGUAUAAAUAUGUUCCAUGCAAUAUUUGGAACGUACUUAUGCAAAAA